UCUCUCUCUCUCUCUCUCUCUCUCUCUCUCUCUCUGAAUUUUAGUUGUGCAUGUGACAUAGGCUUUUAAGAUGCUUCAUUGAUAAUGUAGGUCUAUGGAUGAUCUGUAUGAAGUGUGUACUCAGCUUCUGCUUUUGGAUUGUGACUUUUAUCAGGAGAAACUGGUGUUCUGAUCCUUCUCGGUACCACGAAUCAAGAUUCGAGUUCACCAAGGUAUCGAGAAUCAAGAUUCGAGUUCACCAAACACGCACGGGUUUUAGAUGAACCUUUUCAGGUGCAGAGAAGGCUCUGCCAUUCUAGCACCAUUUUAGGGCUUCACGAGCAGCCAUUGACAACUAGUUGCUCAACAACGAUUUUUCUUCUCGGAAAAGCUGGAAAUUUUCUGGUAAAAGCAGUCUACCUACCCAUUGAUAGGU